CCUACGGGGGGCUGCAGUGGGGAAUUUUGGACAAUGGGGGCAACCCUGAUCCAGCCAUGCCGCGUGAGUGAAGAAGGCCUUCGGGUUGUAAAGCUCUUUCGGCCGGGAAGAAAUCGCUUAGGCUAAUAUCCUGAGUGGAUGACGGUACCGGAAUAAGAAGCACCGGCUAACUACGUGCCAGCAGCCGCGGUAAUACGUAGGGUGCGAGCGUUAAUCGGAAUUACUGGGCGUAAAGCGUGCGCAGGCGGUUUUGUAAGACAGGCGUGAAAUCCCCG
rnacentral:rRNA from 1 species